GGAUGCGAUCAUACCAGCACUAAAGCAUCGGAUCCCAUCAAAACUCCGUAGUUAAGCGUGCUUGGGCGAGAGUAGUACUAGGAUGGGUGACCUCCUGGCAAGUCCUCGUGUUGCAUUCC
rnacentral:rRNA from 1 species